GGGGACUCCGGACCCGCAGCUGGUUCGGGUCUCAGUCUGCAGCUUCCAGCCGACGCGCAGCUUCCGGUCUCCUGGUCUGUGUGGGUUUCGGGUUCUUGGUGUUUUCUUGGUUCUGGUUCUGAUGCCCCAGGACUACCGGCAGCCUGCAGCUCCUCCCCCGGCCUACAGGGCGGCAGCAGAGAGCGGCGGCCGGACGCCGGACCGGCGGAGCGUCGGCAUGAAGGACUUCUGGCACAAGAUGGGCUGCUGCGUGGCGGCCAAGGCCCCGCCGGUGAGGGGGGGGGGGCUGCUUCCUGUUGUCAUGAUGAUGUUAUCAAGUCAUGUCAAAACAUCUGAUGAAACAUUAAAUCUUAGAAAACUUAAUAAAAAUAUAAAAAAACGA